AAAGAUUCCGUCCAAUGCUGCAAACGUGGCUCGGGUCUGAAUGUCUAAUUAAGCUCAAUGGUUCACUGAUCCAAAAACAUAAUAACAUAAGAGAGAGCUAGCAACAUGUAUACUAUUUCAUUUUUUUUAGAGUUUUUCAGCCAAUGAGAGAGCUCUAUUUCAGAUCCACUCGCACAAAGUGCGCGUUGAGCGAGUGAGAGCGAUUCUGUGGGUGUACCCCUUUCCAAAUCAUGCCUUUUUCAAUCGACGCAUUCCUCUCCGAAAUACACAUCGCGUGACUUUUGUUUUUUUGCUUUCUUCUCUAAACCAAUGUAAACCGAACCAAUAUCGAUUUUAAUUCCAAAACCACAUAAUUUUACAUUUUCUCCUCUUUUCGGAUGUGAUAAAUUUUUUUCUUUUUUCCAGAUUCGGUUCAUUAAAAUGAAAUAUUAAUUGUAUGAUUCCUUUUUUUUUUUCUUCUUCAUACCUUUUCUUCUUGCUUUUUAGUUCUGUUUCUUUGCAUGUAUUGAAUUGAC